rnacentral:rRNA from 1 species
CCUACGGGUGGCAGCAGUGAGGAAUAUUGGUCAAUGGACGAGAGUCUGAACCAGCCAAGUAGCGUGAAGGAUGACUGCCCUAUGGGUUGUAAACUUCUUUUAUAUGGGAAUAAAACGUUCCACGUGUGGGAUUUUGUAUGUACCAGAUGAAUAAGGAUCGGCUAACUCCGUGCCAGCAGCCGCGGUAAUACGGAGGAUCCGAGCGUUAUCCGGAUUUAUUGGGUUUAAAGGGUGCGUAGGUGGAUUGUUAAGUCAGUUGUGAAAGUUUGCGGCUCAACCGUAAAAUUGCAGUUGAAACUGGCAGUCUUGAGUACAGUAGAGGUGGGCGGAAUUCGCGGUGUAGCGGUGAAAUGCUUAGAUAUCACGAAGAACUCCGAUUGCGAAGGCAGUUCACUGGACUGCAACUGACACUGAGGCUCGAAAGUGUGGGUAUCAAACAGGAUUAGAUACCCUUGUAGUC